GUGCCCUUUUAAGUUACCACAGCACUUUAAGAGGCUAACCCAGAAGGGUAAAAGAAAUAAAUCUGCAUAAAACCCAGAGGAAAGAUGGCAAACUUCAUCUCUGGAUCCUGCCUGGAGUCAAAGUU
ensembl:snoRNA